rnacentral:rRNA from 1 species
UACAGAGGUCUCAAGCGUUGUUCGGAUUCAUUGGGCGUAAAGGGUGCGUAGGCGGCGCGGUAAGUCGGGUGUGAAAUCUCGGAGCUUAACUCCGAAACUGCAUUCGAUACUGCCGUGCUUGAGGACUGGAGAGGAGACUGGAAUUUACGGUGUAGCGGUGAAAUGCGUAGAUAUCGUAAGGAAGACCAGUGGCGAAGACGGGUCUCUGGACAGUUCCUGACGCUGAGGCACGAAGGUCAGGGGAGCAAACGGG